rnacentral:rRNA from 1 species
AGUGAACGCUGGCGGCAUGCCUAACACAUGCAAGUCGAACGGCAGCACAGCAGUAGCAAUACUGUGGGUGGCGAGUGGCGGACGGGUGAGGAACACAUCGGAAUUUGCCCAGUCGUGGGGGAUAACGUAGGGAAACUUACGCUAAUACCGCAUACGACCUUACGGUGAAAGCGGGGGAUCGCAAGACCUCGCGCGGAUGGAUGAGCCGAUGUCGGAUUAGCUAGUUGGCGGGGUAAAGGCCUACCAAGGCGACGAUCCGUAGCUGGUCUGAGAGGAUGAUCAGCCACACUGGGACUGAGACACGGCCCAGACUCCUACGGGAGGCAGCAGUGGGGAAUAUUGGACAAUGGGGGCAACCCUGAUCCAGCAAUGCCGCGUGUGUGAAGAAGGCCUUCGGGUUGUAAAGCACUUUUAUCCGGAACGAAACGUGCGGGGUGAAUAGCCUCGUAAACUGACGGUACCGGAGGAAUAAGCACCGGCUAACUUCGUG